AUGUUUACCUGGCAGGGGAGUUACCAUGAUCACGAAGGUGGUUUUCCCAGGGUGAGGCUGACCCAUUGCACUCCGGAUGUGAUGACCCCAGUGAUUUCCCCAAAUGUGGGAAUCUUGACUGUUCAAUUUGUGGUAGUGGGGGACGCAUUCAGCUCUCCUCUG